GACGAACGCUGGCGGCGUGCUUAACACAUGCCAGUCGAACGGAAAGGCCCUGCUUUUGUGGGGUGCUCGAGUGGCGAACGGGUGAGUAACACGUGAGUAACCUGCCCUUGACUUUGGGAUAACUUCAGGAAACUGGGGCUAAUACCGGAUAGGAGCUCCUGCUGCAUGGUGGGGGUUGGAAAGUUUCGGCGGUUGGGGAUGGACUCGCGGCUUAUCAGCUUGUUGGUGGGGUAGUGGCUUACCAAGGCUUUGACGGGUAGCCGGCCUGAGAGGGUGACCGGCCACAUUGGGACUGAGAUACGGCCCAGACUCCUACGGGAGGCAGCAGUGGGGAAUAUUGCACAAUGGGCGGAAGCCUGAUGCAGCAACGCCGCGUGCGGGAUGACGGCCUUCGGGUUGUAAACCGCUUUCGCCUGUGACGAAGCGUGAGUGACGGUAAUGGGUAAAGAACCACCGGCUAACUACGUG
rnacentral:rRNA from 1 species